rnacentral:lncRNA from 1 species
UCCAUAUAUGAUACUCAUAAAAACUUUAUUUUAUUAAUUACUCUGCUAUGGCCAUAGACUUAAAGACUCAGCUUCUUAAAUCUCAUAGGACUACUCUCUUCUGCUAGGAUCGAUAGAUCCCAUCUUGAUGCAUAUCCUAUUCCUACAGUGGAUCAACUGUCAUCAACAUCCACUACAAUGGCUUAUUGAGAUUAAUGUUUAUGUAUCAGUCAAACUCCAGUAGCCUCACUGCGAGCAGUAGUAUCAUCUC